GCGUGAUUUGGAAAAUGGGGAAUUCCACAGGGUUUCUGAGACAUUCGUCGCCGCCGCGCGCAUUGGCGAGGCGGAGAGAGAGUGAGAGUGAGGAGGAGUUUGGGUGAUCUCUCCCCCGUCGCUAGGGCAUUCGCUUCCUCCCUCCUUAAGCACGCACGUAUGCGGACUCGGUUUCUGAAGUGUCUUCAAGAAAAGUUCCUUCUCUGGGCUUAGCAUAUCUGGUGCAUCUACUAGUUUGUUAGAUUGAUAAGAUCUGCUGUUACAAAUAUAUUUUUCAUAGAAAUGCUCCCUUUGCCCCCAGUCUGGAGAUUCCUCAUAAGCACGUUGACAGGGCACACUCUUCAACUCACUAAGCUUUGUAUGGAUAUGUGACUUCAAUUCUGGACACAGUUCACUCUUAUUUUUGCAAUCAUCAUGGUACCCAUAGAGUUCUCCCACAAAAUCUGCUAAAGAAAGUUCAAGAUCAUCUUCUUCUGCCUGUUUCAUGGAUUUGGAACCACUUGGAUCCAGCAAACCAGACGGAGAAGCCAUGGCUGUGCUUGUGCUGUGACUUUUGGCUCUGUUUUGUUUGGUGCUCUGCAUUGAACUUUUUUCCAGACAGACAUCAUGUCCCAGGUCAGCUAAUAUUCUUUGAACCUCUUCCUUGGGAAUCUUUUUCACCUGUUUUACCUUACCCAGCUCGUCCUCCAUGAGUCUUUUGACGGUUUGUUUCCUUGUGUCGCAUUCCUCUAUGUUCUGAGAAAUAUAAGAACAAUACACUUAUUCCAAGAAGUAAUCUUUAACAUGCAUCAAAAGAAAUAGGUAGUACUGUCUACAUGAUAAACAUAAGCUUGAUGGAAAGCUAUAUCAGUUAAAACUAUUUGAUGUUUACCAUGCCAACAUACACUUGAAGCAAAUCUGGUUUUAGAACUCACCCAACAGAUUACAAUGUAAAGAUUGCUAGUACUGUCUACUCAAAUUUUUUCUUCUCUGCUGGUUAAUGCAGAAUGCUUGAAUCAAGUCCCUUUCAUCAAAGAAGGAAUAAUGGUUGCUAAAUCCAAGCCUACACAUGAUAAGUAGGCAAAAAGAAGUAUAUGUGGGAUCAUUUUGUCAUGCUUUUUUUUUUAAGUUUAUUGUUCCACAACUUGCAUUAAGCUAAACUUUCCCGUGCAUGUUUUCGAAGCAGUACCAAGUUCAUAUGUUGCAUUUGGAUUUUGGACGACUUCUUUUCUCCAUACUUGCUCUAGAUAUGUUCUGGCUCUGAAGAAAACACUUAGCAUGAAGGAAUUGACUGCCAUUAACAUCAAUAUGGCACUUUCAGUUCCAUUCAUCAAAAUUAUUUUGUUACACAAGUAACUGAAUAGUCAAGUAUGGUUAGGAUCACUAGACUUCUGUUGCAUAUUCGUGGUGUUAACAAAAGCAGACAACAGCAACCACCAGCAUGAGCAUCUAUGCUUUUUACCAUUAAAAUUACAUACUUACUAAAAUAACUUACAUCCUCCCCAUAUUCAUCUGUUUCUUCAAAGUCCCUGGAUUUCUUUCUUGAGUGCCUCCUACCUGCGACCAUGCAGAGUUGUAAGAAGAUAUACAAAUUAUGAUAACUAAAUAUUUUUCUUGAAUGCCUUCAUAUUUGCCAGAUGAUUCCGAAAUGUAGAUUAGAGGGAUUUAUUGACAGUCUAUGACAUCAGAAAAAUGUUUACUGAAGGUCAAAUAUCAUAGAUUGAUUGUAUUGCCAUGCAGGUGCUGCAUUACUUAUAUUGCUGCACAUAGUUGACACAAUUUCACAAACUGCUUAGUAAUGGUAAUCAAACAAACGAGAAGCAAAAUUGUCGACUUUCAUAUUUACUGACAGUAAUCAGUUUUUUUUUCUGGAGAUAAUAAUAAGAAUGCUUUACAUAUUCUGUUUUCAGUCUCUUGUAUAGCAGAUGACCACAAUGCAUAUUAAAUUUCAAAACCAUAUCCUCAGAGUUCUACCAGCAAAGUAAGUGGCUCAGAUCAUGAUCACGAUCCUAUUUGCAUUGUCAUCAUGUUCAUCAGGUAUUACAUUUUACUUUAACCAUGAACCUGGAGAGAAUUACCUGAAAGCCCACCGAAAGUGUGCCUUCUGCUUCCUUGCUUCCUGUCCAACAGAAACUUAGCGUCACGUCGGAAAUAGAGCAUGCCGAUGAGGCCCCACAUGCAGCCUAUGUUCUCCUGACGCCUAGCCAGUCUUUGACUUCUCUUCCCCAUCAGGUUUGGUUCCUGAGAGAAACUCUGCAGUUAGCUGAUGAACACUUAGGAUUCAUCCCGAUGAACCAUGCAAGCCAAGAAUGAAAGAACAAAAGAAAUGAGAUUUUGCAGGAGCAAGAGAAGAUGAAAUGCAGCAAACUGGCAGCAUAAAACCAACAGGUUCCAGUGUUCUGUUAUUAAUUUGUGUACUGUCAAAACCAAGCAAAAUUAUCAAAGGAAGAUAUGCUAAAAACUCCUCAAAUCC
rnacentral:sRNA from 1 species